rnacentral:rRNA from 1 species
CGGGGGGCCGCUCAUAUUCUGGCAGGGGCUGCGGGAUCCCAAGUCGGAGUAGGGGAGAGGCUGAGCCAGGGGCGAGGGGAGCGGGAGAGGGAGAAACAAGGCGAGCGGGUUUGCGUAGGCAGAGUGCGGCAGCGGCAACAGCACGUGACUUCGUCGGGGCCCAGUGAGCCUCCACAGGUCGUCCCCGCAACAGCGGCAGAGGCAGCCGAUGCAGUUGCUUGGUCUGGCCUCGGCGGGGCGUUGCUCACCAAGCUUGAGCAGAAGGUGGAGCUGUGGGUUUAGUACGGCUGCAGUUUAAGCAGAGGCAGCUUGGGAGGGGCUGGUGCGACAGAUGAGGACAGGCUGGCGAUGAUGCUCUGACUGCGGCGACGACUACGGGGCUAGCUGAUGUAACAACUACUGGGGAGCAACGGUCUCGUUGGUCC